rnacentral:rRNA from 1 species
GCCAGCAGCCGCGGGAACACCGGCAGCUCUAGUGGUAGCAAUUUUAUUGGGCCUAAAGCGUCCGUAGCCGGUUUAAUAAGUCUCUGGUGAAGUCCUGUAGCUUAACUGUGGGAAUUGCUGGAGAUACUAUUAGACUUGAGACCGGGAGAGGUUAGAGGUACUCCCAGGGUAGAGGUGAAAUUCUGUAAUCCUGGGAGGACCGCCUGUUGCGAAGGCGUCUAACUGGAACGGUUCUGACGGUGAGGGACGAAAGUUAGGGGCGCGAACCGGAUUAGAUACCCGGGUAGUCCUAACUGUAAACGAUGCGGACUUGGUGUUGGGGUGGCUUUGAGCUGCUCCAGUGCCGAAGGGAAGCUGUUAAGUCCGCCGCCUGGGAAGUACGGUCGCAAGACUGAAACUUAAAGGAAUUGGCGGGGGAGUACCACAACGCGUGGAGCCUGCGGUUUAAUUGGAUUCAACGCCGGACAUCUCACCAGAGGCGACAGCUGUAUGAUAGCCAGGUUGAUGACUUUGCUUGACUAGCUGAGGGGAGGUGCAUGG